rnacentral:rRNA from 1 species
GAUGAACGCUGGCGGCGUGCCUAAUACAUGCAAGUCGAGCGAACAGACGAGGAGCUUGCUCCUCUGACGUUAGCGGCGGACGGGUGAGUAACACGUGGAUAACCUCCCUAUAAGACUGGGAUAACUUCGGGAAACCGGAGCUAAUACCGGAUAAUAUAUUGAACCGCAUGGUUCAAUAGUGAAAGACGGUUUUGCUGUCACUUAUAGAUGGAUCCGCGCCGCAUUAGCUAGUUGGUAAGGUAAAGGCUUACCAAGGCAACGAUGCGUAGCCGACCUGCGAGGGUGGUCGGCCACACUGGAGCGGGAACACGGUCCAGACUCCUGCGGGAGGCAGCAGUAGGGAAUGUUCCGCAAUGGGCGAAAGCCUGACGGAGCAACGCCGCGUGAGAGAUGACGGUCUUCGGAUCGUAAAACUCUGUUAUUAGGGAAAAACAAAUGUGUAAGUAACUAUGCACGUCUUGACGGUACCUAAUCAGAAAGCCACGGCUAACUACGUG